CGGGGCGUAGCUCAGUCCGGAAGAGCGCAUCGUUCGGGUCGAUGAGGUCGGAGGUUCAAAUCCUCUCGCCCCGACCA
rnacentral:tRNA from 1 species